GUAGUCCACGCCUUAAACUAUGGAUACUUGGUGUUGGAGGUAUUGACCCCUUCAGUGCCGAAGCUAACGCGUUAAGUAUCCCGCCUGGGAAGUACGGUCGCAAGAUUAAAACUCAAAGAAAUUGACGGGGGCCCGCACAAGCGGUGGAGCAUGUGGUUCAAUUCGAUGCAACGCGAAGAACCUUACCUAGAUUUGACAUGUAUUGGAAGACUCGUAGAAAUACGGUCGCUCGCAAGAGUCGAUACACAGGUGCUGCAUGGCUGUCGUCAGCUCGUGUCGUGAGAUGUUGGGUUAAGUCCCGCAACGAGCGCAACCCUUGCCUUUAGUUGCCAGCAUUUAGUUGGGCACUCUAAAGGGACUGCCGACGUUAAGUCGGA
rnacentral:rRNA from 1 species